rnacentral:rRNA from 1 species
UACAGAGGGUGCGAGCGUUAAUCGGAAUUACUGGGCGUAAAGCGUGCGUAGAUGGUUAUGUAAGUCGGAUGUGAAAGCCCCCGGCUCAACCUCGGGCGUGCGAUGGAUACUGCCGGGCUAGAGGAUGGUAGAGGCGAGUGGAAUUCCCGGUGUAGCGGUGAAAUGCGCAGAUAUCGGGAGGAACACCAGUAGCGAAGGCGGGUCUCUGGGCAGUAACUGACGCUGAGGAGCGAAAAGCGUGGGGAGCGAACAGG